UACGGAGGGUGCAAGCGUUAUCCGGAUUUACUGGGUUUAAAGGGUGUGUAGGCGGGCUAUUAAGUCAGAGGUGAAAUCUCCGGGCUCAACCUGGAAACUGCCAUUGAUACUAUUAGUGUUGAAUUCUGUUGAGGUUGGCGGAAUAUAUCAUGUAGCGGUGAAAUGCAUAGACAUGAUAUAGAACAGCGAUUGCGAAGGCAGCUAACUAAACAGACAUUGACGCUGAGGCGCUAAAGCGUGGGGAUCAAACAGG
rnacentral:rRNA from 1 species